rnacentral:rRNA from 1 species
AGUGAACGCUGGCGGUAGGCCUAACACAUGCAAGUCGAACGGCAGCACAGUAAGAGCUUGCUCUUACGGGUGGCGAGUGGCGGACGGGUGAGGAAUACAUCGGAAUCUACUUUUUCGUGGGGGAUAACGUAGGGAAACUUACGCUAAUACCGCAUACGACCUACGGGUGAAAGCAGGGGAUCUUCGGACCUUGCGCGAUUGAAUGAGCCGAUGUCGGAUUAGCUAGUUGGCGGGGUAAAGGCCCACCAAGGCGACGAUCCGUAGCUGGUCUGAGAGGAUGAUCAGCCACACUGGAAAUGAGACACGGUCCAGACUCCUACGGGAGGCAGCAGUGGGGAAUAUUGGACAAUGGGCGCAAGCCUGAUCCAGCCAUACCGCGUGUGUGAAGAAGGCCUUCGGGUUGUAAAGCCCUUUUGUUGGGAAAGAAAAGCAGCAGGUUAAUACCCCGCUGUUCUGACGGUACCCAAAGAAUAAGCACCGGCUAACUUCGU